rnacentral:lncRNA from 1 species
AAGGGUUUUGCUUCCAAAUCCAGAAUACAACUUGAAUCCAUUUUGACUCUCUUCGACAGUGAGUGAAUGUGAGUGAAGGACGGUGAUUUUUGAAGCAGGACGAUGAGAUAAGGACAUUGGAUCUCACAUAACUCUACGUGUAUUUAGGAAGGGGGAUUCGUUCUUCACCUCUGCAUCUCCGAACGAGAGGUGAUGGACAAGAACAUAGGGGAAACGACACUAAGGUCUUCAAAGAUGGGGAAAAGAUCUAAUUCCUUUUUUUGUUUCUGUGUGUGGGAUCUUCUGCAAUUUGGUCACUGCUGAAAUUGUUGUAUAUCGUGUUUUUUUGUGUAUGGCUACUAUGAACUUUUUAGAAGAAGAAAACAUAGGUCUCAUGGUUUUCGGAUUUUGGGGAAAAAGAAAUUCAGGGGAAGUCUCCCCUCGUCCAUUUCAAUCUGCACCAAGAACUUAUUAGCCAUAACCAUUUUCCCUAAAUCAAUUAACCAAAAUAUAG